CCACAUAAGAGUUAGAAACAGAGGAAAUGGGAAAAGUAAGAAUAAACAGUUUAAUUCUUAAUCAGCUACUGCUUUUGAUACUUUAAACAUGGUGAUCGCUAAUGCGGAAAGCUCUGGAAGCCUUAGUAAGCUGGCUUGAUCAUCUGAAGAAUGCCAGUACUUCUUAGGGAAAGUUCGUGAUUCAUACUCAAGGAUUAAGCCAAGAGAAUCUUGUGACCUAAGCAGCCUGGCUCUCCACUGGUAAAAAUGGGAUUUUCUUAUCUUCACAAAAAUAAUAAUUGAGACAGAGAGCAGGGAUGGAAACAGACAGUAUACAUUUGAUUGCAGAGCUAGCAAUGCUCAAACAGCAUAAGGGAAAUGGCAGUUUUGGCAAAUUGUGAGUGUCGUGAUAGAAAAAUAAACUACAGUAUGUGAAGUGUUCCUCAGAGAUGAAUCACAGCGUGUCUGAGAAGCAGCAGAAAUAUGAACUGUAACAAAAAACGAUAGAUAUUUUGUCUUCAGUGUCUUGGGUGAUCCUUAGGAAAUGUUUAGUCGUUCACCUGGUAAUUCAGGAAACAGCUCCUCCCUGGGUAUCGAUCUCUUCAAAAUGAUUGCAUUAACGUGUAUUUCUUUAUGGUAGGUCACCAGUGCAAGAAGUGUGAGAUUUGGAGUGAUGACAUGAAAUCGAAUCCUAUUUCUAAUAAUAAACAUUUACUUGACAGAGUCAGUCAACUUCAAUAUUAUAGUUUCUCCAUUUCUACAACUGAGAUAAUAAUUUAGCUUUUUAUUUAUUUGUUUAGAAUCUUGCAAAAAUUACCUUUGAAAUAUGAGCAAUAAAGGAUACAACACAUGGGAGCAUUGCAAACUGACUCCCCGACCAAGAAAGUUGCAUAAACGCAUAUCCUUUGGCAGAGCUCACUGAUAUAAACAACCUUGGUUAUAUUUAGAUCCACAUCUAGGUGCCUUGCCACCUCUGUCAUCUCUCUUUAUUCUUAUUUUAGGGUUUUAACUACUUAUAUUUAAUAGAUCAUAAGGAAAUAGAAGAUACAAAAGCACUAGCUAUCAUUACUUUUUGAGACAAGCAAAACAUUAUUGGUGCAUUAUAACUCCAGUCUUGUUUUGCAUUAAUUUCCCUUAAAGGGAGGAUCAAUAUUAGCAAGCAGAACUGUAAUCAUUGUGUAAAUCUGAUUUUUCUGUUGGUUUCUUUAAAAAUCAUGCAGUCAAAUUACUUAGCAUUUCCUUAGCAUUCACAGUGCAGAAACAUCUGAUAGGUACGGAGAGAAUUUUCAGCAGCAGCUUUUGUGGGGACUGCAUAGGCAGGUAACAGCAAACUCCUUUCUGGGUAGUGCUGUGCUGGCAAAUCAGUGAUGAGGGAAUGAUGCUGCAAGGGACACAUGUAGGCACAGUAGUAAUUUUGAUAACAUCCAACUGUUCUGUUGAGGAAAAUGUACAUUUAAAGCUUCUGAUCUGAUUUCUUCAGGGAAAAAUUACCAUCGUUAUGUUCCUGCACUCAGUUGCAACAUCUCAAAUUCAUGUUUAUUCAUACAUGCCUUUGUAAUCCUGUUGAGUUGCAGUGGGAAUUAAACAAAUUGUACAACAAAAAAGUAUAAAUCAUUGCAGUACAUAAAGCAGUUUCCAUCACUGCUCCUAGAAACUACUCAAAUAACAGUAAUGUUUGAUCUUCUGUAAAACAUAUCAGUGCAUUUAAAUUUUAAUUCUCUUCUGUGAUGUUUGGAGAAAAAGUAGACAAAUUGCAUUAAGAAAGUCAGUUUCCAUACAACGUUACUUUAAACAGUUUCAGAAAUUACAGGCUAAAUCUUUAAAAAUUUUCCUUCAGUUUCAGCAGUGCACCAUGCCUUGGUGAGAAGUGGAAGCAGACCUUUAGAGAUGCAUCCUGGACACUCCUUUUGCCCCCCUUGGUGAAAGAAGGAUGGGAUGCUGCCAGGACAGCCACAGUUUCUGCAACACAAAGCUGAAAUUACAAGAUUGUUGUCGUAAGAAAGCAGAAACAGUGUAUGGCACUCCGUGCCCUGCAGUGCUGCCGUUCUUCCGUUGUUUUUACAAACAUUGCUACCUUUCUAGGCAGCCAGGGCUGCUAAUUUCUUCUCAUUACAACUAUAUGAAAAAGAAGUGAGAGAUACCUCUAGUACACCAAUAUUAAUAUGGUGAAUAAUUAAGCCAUCAAGAAAACUGUAUAUGUUUUCAAAGAAGCCAAGCACCUGCACACGGACGAUUUCUGUCUUAUAGCUGUGUUUGAGAAUAGUGAGAAUGGGGAAAAAAGCCUUUGCUGUAUCUCCUUCAAGACAGACAGGAGUGUGUUUAUUUUCACCAAAUAUCCAUACACAUAUGACACUCUCUCAGAAAUGGACAGUUGCUGGAAGAGUAACACCUUUUUAUUCCUUAUGAUAUAUGUCCCGCACGUGCAUCUCCUGUAUGUGUGCAAAUACAGGAGGAAGGAAGUCCUGGAAGACUUGGGAGCUCUCAGUGGGAAACCAAGGCAAAGGGCACAGUUCUCAUACAAAUGGGCAAAGGUAUCUACAUUCCACAGUGCCAAGCAACCAUCAAAUCCUGAAGAGAUUCCUAAUCCUUAUUCUUGUCCUUCUUCAGGCAUCUGGGCCUCAUUGAAGUCUUGCAAAUAAUUAAGAAUAUUAGACCUCUGGUUACUGAUCAUCUUGCAGAAGCUAAAGCAGAACCGUUGCAGGAGGUGUCUGCCCUGACUCCUGCUGGGUUACAGCUGCGGCCCUCCAGAAGGGGCUUCACGCGACCCGAGCGCGGCCGUUCCCUGCUGACAGCGGCAGGUCGAGCGCUCCGCUGGGUAUCUGCAUCGCACAGCCCUCAG
ensembl:lncRNA